rnacentral:rRNA from 1 species
AGCGAACGCUGGCGGCAGGCCUAACACAUGCAAGUCGAACGAACCUUUCGGGGUUAGUGGCGGACGGGUGAGUAACACGUGGGAACGUGCCUUUAGGUUCGGAAUAACUCAGGGAAACUUGUGCUAAUACCGAAUGUGCCCUUCGGGGGAAAGAUUUAUCGCCUUUAGAGCGGCCCGCGUCUGAUUAGCUAGUUGGUUGAGGUAAUGGCUCACCAAGGCGACGUUCAGUAGCUGGUCUGAGAGGAUGAUCAGCCACAUUGGGACUGAGACACGGCCCAAACUCCUACGGGAGGCAGCAGUGGGGAAUCUUGCGCAAUGGGCGAAAGCCUGACGCAGCCAUGCCGCGUGAAUGAUGAAGGUCUUAGGAUUGUAAAAUUCUUUCACCGGGGACGAUAAUGACGGUACCCGGAGAAGAAGCCCCGGCUAACUUCGUG